rnacentral:lncRNA from 1 species
AGUUUUAUUAACCUUAUUAUAUUUCCGGAUUAUCCGGAUUUUCGAUUUACCGGAUCGCUUCCGGUCCCAGUUAGUCCGGUUAAACGAGGUUGUACUGUACAUCCCUUACCAUUUUUUACUGGCGAACAUUUAUUCUAAGAAUAUAAAGAAAUUGUCUUCUUUAGAGAAACUUGACCAAGCUUCACUAAAUACUUGAAAUUUAGGAUCUUUAUCUGAGUUGCAAUCAUCGUAGCUCUCAGAAUUGUCACUGUUAACAGCAAAAAA